rnacentral:rRNA from 1 species
AGGAUGAACGCUGGCGGCGUGCUUAAUACAUGCAAGUCGAACGAGGUGCUUUUGUAGCAAUACGGAAGUAUCCUAGUGGCGAACGGGUGAGUAACACGUUGGUGACCUGCCCCAAAGUGUGGGAUAACAGUCCGAAAGGAUUGCUAAUACCGCAUGUGGUCCUCGGGUUUAGAAACCGAUGACUAAAGCAGUAAUGCGCUUUGGGAGGGACCUGCGUCCCAUCAGCUUGUUGGUGAGGUAACGGCCCACCAAGGCGACGACGGGUAGGGGACCUGAGAGGGUGAUCCCCCACAAUGGCACUGAAACACGGGCCAUACACCUACGGGUGGCAGCAGUAGGGAAUAUUGGGCAAUGGGCGAAAGCCUGACCCAGCAACGCCGCGUGUACGAUGAAGGUCUUCGGAUCGUAAAGUACUUUUCUGGGAGAUGAGUAAGGACAGUAUCCCAGGAAUAAGCCUCGGCUAACUACGUGCCAGCAGCCGCGGUAAAACGUAGGAGGCAAGCGUUAUCCGGAUUUACUGGGCGUAAAGCGCGUGCAGGCGGUUUGGUAAGUUGGAUGUGAAAUCUCCUGGCUCAACUGGGAGAGGUCGUUCAAAACUACCAGACUUGAGGGCAGUAGAGGAAGGUGGAAUUCCCGGUGUAGUGGUGAAAUGCGUAGAUAUCGGGAGGAACACCAGUGGCGAAAGCGGCCUUCUGGACUGCUCCUGACGCUCAGACGCGAAAGCUAGGGGAGCGAACGGGAUUAGAGACCCCGGUAGUCCUAGCUGUAAACGAUGUAGACUUGGCGUCGGUGGGUUCAAAGCCAUCGGUGCCGAAGCCAACGCGAUAAGUCUACCGCCUGGGGACUACGGCCGCAAGGUUAAA